AGAAUUUUCUAUUGUUUCUUGUCAGUCGUAAGCUUGAAAAGUGUGGUUGUUUGUUGAUUACUUUACACGCGGUUGCAACAGAGAAGUCAAACCAAGGAAAUGUGUGAUCAACAAAUCGGCAGGCUGUCUAAGUGUGAACAAAUUAUGUCAAUUGCUUUCCAAGUUCACACACACAGUAAAGAAGGAUUGCUGACCGCUAGAUGCCACUGUCUAAAGUUGAUGUUGUCAUACACAAACACAACAACCUGAUCCUGCAUCAUGAAACAUGGCGAAACAAAUUGUUGCUAUUGUGUACUUAUUUUUCUGUGAUUCCGAAUACUGAAUUGAACUUCGUUUGUUCAUUCCGUCAUUCUAACAAGUUGACUUAGUGCUCAGUUACUUUCCAUCCAUUAGAUCCUUAUGCUGUCAAUAGCCUGAAACUCAUAUUUGGAACCCACAUGCAGUGGAAUUAGACAGAAGUUCUUGUGCAUGGACCAUAGGAUCUUUUCUGAAUCUUGCAAGUGUAACUUGUGUCAGAAUGUUUGUCGAGUGUACAACUGUUUCUACAGCUGUUCAGAAGGCAACCCAGCUGAGAGAUAGUUCCAGUUUCAGUGAAUGUGUACAUGAAGAGUGUGAAGUGUAUUUAGUACAUUUACCAGAUCUGCUUGAUGAAAGUCAAAUGCCUUACUGAAUUCGUCACCCAAAUGAUAAAGAACUAUUUGUGACGUCCCCUGAGAUCGCGAGUCGGCCGCCAGUUUCAAUCUACAACGCAGUUUCUUCAUGGAAUCGUGAGGUCCUGCCACGGAGAUCCUUGAGUCAACGCUGGCUUUUGUCGAUGACAGAAGAGGGACUUCUAUCAACGUUCGGAUCCUUAUCUUAACGACGUACGCUGCUUUUUGUGCUUCACUGGCGAAUUAGAUCACUUCAGUGUUCGCUUCCGUCCGCUGUGAAAUACCUGCAGUCACUCGCCACGGGACUAUGCCAAGGUAAUGCAGAGAAGACGUCGAGAAGAUGGAUUUUCUCAUCUUUAACAAUCGUCACCGGUCUCCGUCGGAUGUUGCCACUGCUCCUGGUGUGAACGAAACUCGGUUGAAUCGCGACCGACACCGAGACUCGUCAUCAACGUGGAUCAUCGUAUUGUUGGUUUUAUUGCGUUUGUGUUAGUGUUAGUUAACCCGUUGUCUGCCACGUCUUUGUUCUCCCCUGCACGGGCCGCGCUGUUCGGUCUCGUGGUUUUACAAGCCGCGGGGUCGAAAAGUCGCCAAGCCCAAAAUUUGCCGCAAGGCGCCUGUUAUAAGGCAAUGCACCAUGCACCCCUCCUUGU
rnacentral:lncRNA from 1 species